rnacentral:hammerhead_ribozyme from 1 species
GUACUAAUGAAGAGUCCAAAACUAGGACGAAACAGCUGUCCGGUAU